UACGAUGGAGGGCUAGCGUUGCUCGGAAUCACUGGGCGUAAAGGGUGCGUAGGCGGGUCUUUAAGUCAGGGGUGAAAUCCUGGAGCUCAACUCCAGAACUGCCUUUGAUACUGAAGAUCUUGAGUUCGGGAGAGGUGAGUGGAACUGCGAGUGUAGAGGUGAAAUUCGUAGAUAUUCGCAAGAACACCAGUGGCGAAGGCGGCUCACUGGCCCGAUACUGACGCUGAGGCACGAAAGCGUGGGGAGCAAACAGGG
rnacentral:rRNA from 1 species